GCUUUAUCUAAGAUUGUGCAGAGGGCUCCCAGGAGAGCUAGGACAGGAACCCAGAGGUCCUGCGGGCCACUGCAUGGCUGCUGCUGCGGCCCCCAGGCUGGGCCGAGCUCCCAGAGAAGCGAGUGGAAAACAACCUGCCUCCAGAUGGACAAUUAACAAAGGCGGGAGCCGGGGCCGCCCUCUCGCGGCGCACGCACAUACGCAGCGUGGGCAGAUUGGUGUCUGCCCGCGCCCUUCGUGGGAACAGCGCGCACAAGCUCCCGCGCGGCGGCCGUGUCCGGGACCCCCGCGCCCCUCCAGCCCUGGCUGCGCAGUCACCGGGGCGGCCGAGCUCCCCGCGGGAGCCGGCACCUUGCGCACAGCGCGUUGUUUUUAAAUGAGAAGAAAGAGAAAGACAUACAUGGGAACCAGGACACCACCAGCAAUGGUGUGCAUUUGCCUAGUGAUGGAGGCUCAGCUGAGUUUCUGCCAGGGUACAGGAGUUAACUUGGUAGUUGGCUCACAUCCCUCUUGGAUCAGAGUCUUGCUGUGACAAAUAAGAAACCCAUGAUGUCCAAAGAAGAUAUAUUGAUGGCAAAUAAGCUCUUGAGAAGAUACUCAAGAUCAUUAAUCACUGGGGAAAUGCACAUUAAAACCACAAGCAGAACCUGCUGACAUGACUGAUCAUGGGGAUGAUGAGCCAUCCUCCAGUACAGGGAGUCCAAACGGGGAAGGUCGGGUCUCUGAGGACAAAUCCUUGCUUCAUCAAAAGCUGGCAGUCAGGGAACUCAUCGACACCGAGGUCUCCUACUUGCACAUGCUCCAGCUCUGUGCCUCAGACAUCAGGAGCCACCUGCAGCAGCUGCCACAGGGAGAUCUGGAUGUCCUGUUCUCAAACAUUGAUGAUAUCAUCAAGGUGAACAGCAGAUUGCUUCAUGAUCUGCAGGAAACAGCCUCCAGGGAAGAGGAACAAGUGCAGCUGAUUGGUAACUUAUUCCUGGAAUUCCAAGAGGACCUGGAGCAAGUCUAUAAGGUCUACUGUGCCAACUAUGAACAGGCCUUGCUGCUGGUGGAGACCUACCGGAAGGAGCCGGAGCUGCAGCAGGAGAUCCAGAGUGUCAUUGAGGCAGUGCUGCCGCAAGCUGGAUCCUCAGGCCUCAGUUUUUUGCUGGUAAUCCCUUUUCAGAGGAUUACCAAAUACCCAUUGCUGCUGCAGAAAAUUCUGGAGAACACACUUCCUGAUGCCAGUGCCUAUGCUGUCCUUCAGAGGGCUACCUCUGCCCUCCAGGACGUGAUCACCAACAUCAAUGAGUACAAGAGGCGCAAAGAAGUGGCCUCCAAGUACACCAAGGUGGAGCAGCUGAGCCUCCGGGAGCGACUGGCCCGCAUCAACACACACACCCUCUCCAAGAAGACCACCCGGCUGAGCCAGCUGCUGAAGCAGGAGGCAGGGCUCGUAUCCAAGACAGAAGACAAGGAAUUUGAUGACUUAGAAGAGAGGUUCCACUGGGUGUCGCUCUGUGUGACUGAGCUGAAGAACAACGUGGCUGCUUACCUAGAUAACCUGGAGGCUUUCCUCCGCUUCCGGCCUCAGGAAUAUGAUUUGGACAUUCCUGGGGCCCCUGUGGUGCAGUACCGUUACCUGGCAAGAGACCUGCAGCUCCAGGCCUUCCCCGACUUUAAGCAGCGUCUGGAAGGUCUGGUGUGGCAGCCACUAUGCAGCCUGACCAAAACCCUGGCUGGCCCUCAGAACCUGAUCAAGAAGCGUCUGGACAAACUAUUGGACUUUGAGAGGGUGGAAGAGAAGCUGCUGGAGGUGGGCAGCAUGACCUACGAGGAGGAGAUGGCCCGGCACACGUACCAGGCCCUCAACUCCCUGCUGGUGGCCGAGCUCCCACAGUUUAACCAGCUGGCCAUGCAGUGGCUGGGCCAGAUCCUGUGCACAUUUGUGACCCUCCAGAGGGACCUUGCAGAGCAAGUGCUACAGAGGGCAGAGGGCACCUUGGCCCAGCUGCCCCACCACCACAUGGCUGAGCCAGCCUUCAGGAAGCUGGUGGAGGAUGCACUGGGCCAGGCUGGUCACCAGCUUCGUUCCUUUCAAGAGAACUUCGAGAAGGUGCUGCCACCUCCUACCACACAACCACUCCUGCCCGGGGCUGAACGCCAAGUGCAGGCUCUCCUGAGCAAGUAUGGUCUGGGAAAGCUGUACCAGGUGACAAGCAACAUCAGUGGGGCUGGGGCUCUGGACCUGACACUGCCUCGGGGUCACAUCGUGGCCCUCCUUCAAAACAAGGACACCAAAGGCAACAGUGGCCGUUGGCUGGUGGACACCGGAGGACAUCGAGGGUACGUGCCAGCUGGGAAACUGGAGCUGUACCGUGUGGUCCCCAGUGAGGAAGACCUCAGAGGGCAAACAAGGCCUCACGAGAACUCCCGACAUCUGACACCAGAGCCCACCCCAGCCCCAGUCCCCUCUGUCCCAACCAUGACCCAGGUGGUGGCAGUGUAUCCCUUUGUGGCCAGAAGCAGCCAUGAAGUGAGUCUACAGGCAGGCCAGCGGGUGACUGUCCUGGAGGCCCAGGACAAGAAGGGGAACCCAGAAUGGAGCCUUGUGGAAGUGAACGGACAGAGGGGCUACGUACCUUCCAGCUUCCUUGCCAGGGCCCCAAGCCCAGCUCCGUGGGGCUGGAGUCUGCCCUCUUAGGGUUCCCUCCUUGGAGCCCAUGUUCCAAGAGGCUUAGAGGCUGUGACCCCAAAAGGGUAAAGCAAAGAGAAGGCAGAGGUUUAAGGAGAGAUCAAGCCACGGUGGGGUGAAGGGCACCCAGAAAGCAGCCAGAAGAGGUGGGUGGGCCUUACAGAGUGCCUGGCGUGGGCAUGAAGUGCUCCCAUCAGGACAGCUCAUUCUGUCUGCGUGAAGAGGGUGUUCCAACCUGGAGUCACAGCACCCUGGGUGCCAGGUCACAGCCGAUCGGCUAGGACUUGCUAUAGCCUAUGGCCAGUCUUACCUGUGCCCAUGUCUGGGCAUGCCCACAGGAGUGGGUCAUCCAGGUGAACAUAACCUGUGUGCUGUAUGGUUACAGGGAGGGGCCCUGGAGAGUCCAGAACUGCCUGGCCUGACAGUAUACUUCCUACCUGUCCUCAGAUACCUGAGCUUUUAUUUUUCCAUGCUGGGAGCUGAGUUAUCAUGGGCAGUAAACCCCUGACAACCCUCUCUAGUUGGGAUCGAGGGCUUGUUGGGCAGUUGAGGGGUUCUCAGGAGGCUCUUGGCUGGGCCAGGGAGUGGGUGUGAGCAAGUCACAGUUCUGGAAUGCGUGUAGGCAAAUGCAGAGGCUGUUCCAAGGAAGAGGGAAUUUUCCAGGUGUGUCAGAUGGGAUGUACCCUGCUGCUGGGUUCUCUGGACUAGGGGACAAGGGGGCAUGCAAAUCACAGAGGAAACUCUGUGAAGCAGGUAAUUAAAGGCCUGGUGGGUGGGUAAUGACUUGGUUUCCUGUUUCUGGAAGAAGGGGAGGCCAGGGGAACCCCCGGUGGUUUCAGGAGGCUGCUGAGGGCCUUGAGGCAACAGUGGAGGUUACGUUAGUUGGCUGCAGGACCUCAGACAUAGGGCGCAACCUCAGUUUUCCCAUCCAUAAAGUUCGUACUCACAGGCUUGUGGUGAGAAUGCCAUCAUACAAAGGAUGUGGAAGCUCCUUGCAAAUCGUGAAGUGUGAUAUAAAUGUAAAUUGCCAGGGGUAGCAGGAUGUGCCAGAAGUGGUCUCAGGAUGUCCCCAGCCAUCAGUUGACCAUUCCCCAUGCCCAUGGCCAAGGCCAACAUUGUUAAUCAAUGUGGUAGCCUUUCCCAUAAACCAAGGAUCUCUCUCAGUGCUGCAUGCUAGGUCACCAGACUCUUAAACUUCGUGAGGUCAAACUUACUGUCAUCCUUUUCUAGAACCUAGAAAGCAAAGCCCCUCAAAACAGUUCUUUUUCAAGGAAGACUGACUCGGUGGGGAAAAUUUGAGUGCAGCCACUGUUGGAUCAUUAUCUCUAGGUUGUCUCUUUGGGCUCAGAUAAAUUGCAGGAUUCAUAGGAGAGGGAAAAGUUGUCCAGUGUGACUUUAAAAACCAAUUACAAAUUUCGGAACCAAUCCAAGUUAGAGUACGUGUGAAAACAGGUGGCAAUUUAGAUUUAAUUCCAAGAACAUCUCUGUAUUAUUAUAACUGUAGUGCCUAAAACUGUUAGCUCUGGUGUUUGGAGAGCCUUUAAGAAGUGUAUACAUGUCUGUGUCAGACAGUCUGUAACUUACCUCCUCUGGGCUUGUGAAAGCGUGAAGGCUGCAUACAUAAUGCAGGAGAAACUCAGUCCCCACAAUCCCUCUCCCAGGACCAAAUUCACUCUCUAAAAUGCUCGUGACUCAUUUUCCUUUGUCUUUCCUGCUCAGAUUUCUGAUAAAAAUAGGAAACACAGGGGAGCAGAUAAUAAAAUAGGAAGUCCAGCCAUGGUUCCACAAUACUUACAAGAGCCUUCUGUGUGCUAGUACCCUAGCUUGGGGUCUUCUCAACGUGGCUGCCCACAGCAGUCACCAGGACAGCUUUCAACUAGGACUGAGGCCAGGAUCCCACCCAGAGAUGCUGUUAUAAUUGGUCUGAGGUGUGGCCCAGGCCUCAGGAAUUCAGAAAGCUCCCCAAGUAUUUCUAGUGUGUGGCCAGGGUUGGCGACCUCUGCCCUAGACACACAGUGGUGGGCAAGACAGACCUGGGGUCAGAAAUGGCCACAAGCUGUGAGCUAGGGUGUGCCCCAGCUGGUCUUUGUACUUGCUCACAUGUUUCAGACAGGCAGCUUGAGAGGUGGUUUGAAAUAGGACAGCCUGUCCUGUCAGAUCCCAGAAUGUAUAUUUAUUAAGUGCCAUUAAAAGGGGCCUGAACAAAAUUGGAUGUUCUUGUAGGUAUAAGGGAGAAAACUGAAAUAACUUGGAACCAAAUCUAUCUCAUGAAGGGAAAAUAAAAAUGUAUUCAGUAGCACAUGGGUUAUGGUUUCUCAUACAUCAGGGGAUGAGAUUAAAAAUUACUGAAGGGUGAGAAAAUGCAUAUUGAGAAGAUGGAGAAUGGCCUGAAUUUUCUCCAGGGGACUCUGUGUAAUGUGCCUUUCUUUCCCCCCAAAUGCCUAGAACCAUUCCACUGUGUCUUAUUUAUUUCAGUGCUGGGCUGUCACAUACUAGACUUGCUAAGAUGUUUGCCUGUGAAUUGAACAAGACUUUCAGGAACUGAAGACAGAUUCACAAGGGUGCUCCUUGCUCCCUGCAAUGGAGUGAGACUUCUUUAAUCUUUUGGGCCCCAGCCUAGUUUUAGACUUGAGGACAAGAUUACAAUAUCAAAGGAAAGAUGAGUGAAUUCUUGGUUAAUAUGUUAGACUCUAGCUUGGUGAGUAACUGAUGUGAACUACUGGGAAUAAAGGGCUUCAAAGAUGAAAAUGUUUCUGGAAUGUGUAUGACUCUAACCAUUGUAUAGUCACAUGCCACAGUGUAAUGUUUGUUCAUUGGACACUUGCUAUGCAUAAAAAUGGCACCUCAUUCAUUCAUGUGUUCAUUUAAUGAGUAUCUACUGUAUAUCUCUGGUGCCUCUAGGAGUUGGCCUUAGCUGCCAAGGCUGCAGUGAAACAUCAGACAGACCAGGGCUGUGCCGUUUCAAAGCCCACAGUCUGAUGAGGGAGGCAGACAAGGCAACAGUCAGUGACACGCAGUGUAAGUGUUAGGGUAGCAACAGGCGCCAUCAUAGUCCAGGAGAGGGACCAGCUCCUGACUCAGACCUGGUGGCUAAGGAGGGCUUCCUGGAAGAAGUGAUAGCCAAACUGAGGCCUGAUGGGCAGGUUAGAUGAAGGUGGGAGGGAGGGCACAUGCAAAGGCCCAGAGGUUAGAGCAAGGCUUGUCAGGGAACUGAAACUGUAGAGUUGGAACACGGUGUGUGUAGGGGUGGUGGGUGCAGUGGGAAAUGGCUUAACAAAGUCUGCCUGGUAAGGAGCUUUGGAUUUUAUUCUGAGGGCAGUGGAAGUGGGGCACUAAAGGGUUUGAAGCAGAGGAGUGACAUACCCAGGGUUGUAUUUUAGGAUGCAAGUUCUGGUUCAUUCCAGAAUCUUCCGAGGUAUGUGCCUCAAGAAAUAAAUGUUCAAUACAUAUUGCUCAGAUAAAUAGCACAGAGGACAUGGGACACCAAAGCCUGCCACCAAGGAAUCUCCCGUCCAGCUGUAAAAGACAUAUGAGUAUCAGGCAGUUACCUGGCACUGGAUGGCAGAAUGCUGUCAGUCCCAGAAGAAUGCAAUGGAGCAGGCUUAUAGGUGCUCAGACAAGGAGGAGCUUUGGAGUCACUGAGGUGGUCAGGGAGGCUUCCUGGAGGAAGCAGGGCAGGUGCUGGCCUUGUGGGAUAGGUAGGAUUGGGGAAAGCAAAAAGGAAGUGAGGUCUUCUCAGGCCUGGGGAGGCAGUGUAGUGGUGUGAGAAGUGCCCAGUGCUCAGCCUUAGAACCCCUAAGCUCAAGGCCUACUUGGCCAUAGGCAUGUUGAAAACUCAUUUAUCAUAGUUUCUGCAUGUGAGGAAGUUUGGUGAACCCCAAAGCCUUCCCUGUCUUCCCCAGCUGGCCCCAAAGUACUCACUGUGGAGUUCUAGCUUAUCUUAAGGAGUCCUUGGCUUCCUCCACCAGGACCUACCUUCCAUUUUGGAAGAGUCAUUUUAGGGCUUGUUGUGGCAGGACAGAGACUCAGAUACCUGGACUAGGGGUGAGGAAAGAGCUGGAUGCCACUCCUGACAACAUCCCAAGGAGCUUGCAUCCUGAACAAUCUGUUCACUUAACCUUGCUCUUCUCUAUUACUGGUAAUUUCUGAACUUCCCUUUUCUGUUUUCUUAUCUGUAAAAUGGGUCCAAUUCCUCUUCUCACAGGGUGAGUAAGAAGAUUAAAUAAAACACUUGAUGUGAACAGUUGUGGGUGACAACCGGAGCAUCCAUGCUGUGUAGUGAGGGAACAUGUGAGCUGUGACCACUAGGUGGCAGCAGGGCUUUGCCCAUCUGCUGAGAGAGGGCUGGGAGGUGUCACCCGGUCAAACUGAAAUGCCUGCGGUGCUAGGCUGGUGGUGCAGAUGAGAGGAAGGGCCAGGUGAAAGACGUUAGGGAGUGGUGGGGACUGUGUUGGACCAGAGCGUACAUACUUAAUCAAAAGGACCUUGCAACUUCUUGGCUUCAACCAAUGUUGCCACAUCAGAAUGAGGGCCCAGGAGGGCCAGACUGAUUUUUCAAGAGAAGCCAGAAACCAGGGUUUUGUUUGUUUUUAUUUUUGGUGUGAAAUCUGUAUGGAGAUUGGGCCACAGCAGGCCCCCUCUUUGCAUCUUCUGCCAGAGUGUAUGUUGACUGUCCUGAUGAAGAAUCCCUUGUGAAGAAUUAGCUUCAUAUCUUUAUAUACCCUGUGAAAUGCCUUCAUGUGUCUUCACUUCACUUACUACUUCAUCAGACAUUAACUUCCCUUUCUUGGGUCUCUGGGAAACACUGUUUCCUUUUAAGCUACUGUUUCUAUUGUUGUCCUCAAACUUUUAUUAGAUUGUGGGCCUUAUUUUAUGACCCACUCACGAGGGUCUCCACAGUACUUAUCUCACAAGGUUCUUUUGAGGAUUAAAUGAGAUACUGAUAUAAUUAUCACUUAGCCCAGCACCUGGCUUAUUAGUAUUCAUUAUUGUGGGUUCUUUAGGAGAAAAGGCAUGACAUUUGGAGGAAGGUUUGCAGGGCCUGUCUUUCUCUAUAUAUAUAGGUUGGUGACAAGGCCUGGCCACUCCCUUAUGUACAUGGAGCCCCCUGGACCCUGCUCCUAAGAGCCUGGUGGAGGUUGGAUAUAGCCCUUUCCUCAGAGGCUGCUGCUGCCCCUCAAAGGCAUUCCUGGGACUCUCCCUUCUCUGUCAUCUGUGGUGCUGCAGCUGGGUCAGGGUGGGCAGGUUUACCAUCUAGGGCAAUCGCAAUCAUGGGCGUGAACGACCCAGAUUCUCCUUCUUGUUUCCAGCGAUAGGGGUUUCUGCGGUCCACUGCACCGGGCUAGUCAGGCAGGUACUCAGGCAAUAACCAGGCACACGGAUGCACUGGAGCAGCAAUCCUGCUCAUAGGCUCAGGGCCCUUUGCAGCCAGGAGCAUCUUCUCAGGGUGUUCCAAGGGGACCUGGCAGAUUUGGGAAGAAAGAAAAGUGGGGACCAGAUUUGUCCUGUUGGGCUCUGCCUUAUGGCUGGGCUGAGAAGCACCAGCUGAUGCUGUUCAGUUAGGUCUCAGGCAGCCUGCAUGCUUCCAGGACACCUCAGGGUGGUUCUGGGUUCCCUGUCUUAGGCCCAUUUGCCUGUCGUCAGGUGUCUGGGCAUCCUUGAGGCCUGUGAAUGGAAAGAGAGCUCUGCACAGUGGCUGCAGGUUAGAUACGGCCCUGAGCCCCAGGAAGAUUGGACCAGAGUGGGUGAAAAAGUUGCAACCACCCCUUGUGAGCAGUUCCUAUCUCAGAGUUUGGUUAUUUGCUUGCUUGCUCUCACUUAUUCCCUUCCCUGCGCAGCUCUGUGCUACAGGGAACUACGUUUCCCAGGCUCCUUUGUCCUCUGGUUUUCUGGUGGGUUUGGCCAGUGGGAGGCACUGAAGGGAGGGAGAAGGGGAGAACUCAAGGUAUUUCUCCCUCUCUCUGCUUCAGGCAGCAUCUCUGCCUUGGCUGGUCUCCUCCAUGGUUCCAGCUUCCACUGGAUGGCCCUUCCCUCUUGGACUUAGGUCCCGUAGGACAGGCCUGGCUGUGCUUCCAGUUUUUGUCAGGGAGUUUCAGAUACUGCGCACUAAUAACACUGCCUCUUCCCUCUGUCCCUCCAGCCUGAGGACUGGAGUGUCUUUGCUAUUGUUAAUCCCUGGGGUGCUUCUCGGGUCUUCUUUCACCAGUGUAACCUCUUCCCUAUAUUAAAAUCCCUUUGUUCACAAGGCUUGGAAUGGUUCUUUCUGACUGGGCAGUGACUGUUGUGUGGCUCAGCAGCGAGGCAUGCAGGGAGGGACUGGGUAGUGGAGCUAGAGCGGGCUCCGGGAUACCCCUGCCCCUCAGGCUUCCUAGCCUUCAGAGAAGAUGGGGACCAUCACAGGUCUGCUGCACCUUCCCUGGGUCAGGGAACAGUCUGGUCCUCCCCACCUGAACUCUUGUGUCUUCAGCUGCACACAGCAGCUGAAUGGGACACAUUCCAGGGUCAGUGGCCGUGAGAAUCUGCUGAGCUGCCCUUGUUUUGGUCGGCUCUGUCUAUUGCUGUAGGGCCCAGAGAAGACAGCAGAGGAGACCCAAGGGAUGCCAUGUGAGAGCAGAGCCAGACUAGUGGGCAAGAGGAAAGGGUUACCUUCUUCCAGCCAUAGUGCCUUGAAACUGGCCCUGGCUUGGGAGGGCCAGACAGGAAGUGGAGGGGCGGCUUCCAGCCAGAGAAGAGCCUGCUUGUCUUGAUUCUGGGGUCUCCGUGAUUCCAGGAACAUCAGCAGAGUCUCUGGCCUGGGGAAAGGCCGGUGCACUAAUAACAAUCACCACAGUUUCCACUUCUCACAGGGUUGUUUGAGGGUUAUGUGAGGGAAUCUACUUUACAUGAUUAAUCCAGUGCUGGCACAUAGGAAGCUCUUAGGAGCUGGAAGCUUAAAAAAAAAAUUUUAAAAACCCCAUAAGACUUAACAGCAACCAGCCACUGUGGACCUUAUUCUGUUGCACUUCAAGGGCCAAGCUGGUGUUGUAGUUAGCAUUGACCCCAGGCCUCCCCUAGAGCAGGACUAGGGCUCACAGCACAGAUCCAGUGCCAGGGCUAGGAAGAGGGUUGAGGCAGGCGAAGGAGUUGCAAGGUUGGGAGGGCAUGGUGAUCCCAGGGCUCACUCCCCAGGGAUGUGGGGGCAGGCAGUGGGUGCCCAGCAGGCAGUUGGAACCCUAAAAGGGCACUUGAGGACAGGUAUCUCCUAGGUCCAGGCAGGAUAGAAGUUAAGGCCAGGUCAGAAAGUGGGCAGUAGGGCUUAGUUUCUGGGUUGAGGUUCAAGUACCAUGCCCAGGGGACUUGGGGAAGAGGUCCACUAAAGAUACAGAGAUCCUGGCAGGAGGCAGGAUUGAGAGCUGGGCACAAGGUUGGUGUCCAGCUUUCAGCACCAGGGACUUCAUUUUGAGCUCUAGGGGCUGGUCUAGAACUGCUUGAAACCCUCCCAUCCGAGAACAAGAUUGAACCUAGAGAGCAAGGUGGGCUGGACCUGAGAGAGAGUCUGGAAUGAAGAGGCUGUGCUGGUCAGGAGCCCAGGCUUCACACUGCAAAACGCCUGAAUUCAAAUCCUGACUCCACACUUACCAGCUGUGUCACCUCGUUGAACAAGUUAUUUCAUCUCUCUAAAACCUCACUCUCCUCUUUGUGGGUAAACCAGGAUAUAGUCCCACCUCAAAGGGCUGUUGGGAUGUUGAAAUGGGAUCAGGCACGGAAGUCUUCGGCCCCGUAUCUGGAAAGUAUGAGCGCUGCUUAGAUGAUUGAUCCUCAAGGAGCCAAUCAGUUUGGCUGUCCCGCCCCCUCCGAGGGGGUCCUCCCAAGCCUUGCCGGCGGUGACCCCCAGCCCGAGUCUUCUCUGGGCUAAGGCUCCUCGGACCUUCAGCCUUUGCUCUAGUGUCUGUGUUCCUGACCCUUCACCACCUCAGGCUCUGAAAAAAUACCCCCUCAGUGCGUGAGCUGGUUCCAGACUGAAAGCAAGUGGAUGUCUUAAGAGGCCAAAGGCUGCUCCCCCGGGACCGUCGCAGCCACCACGUCCUCAGAGCCUCUCUGGCGCUUAGAGCCGCCAUCUUGAGUUACUCCCUUCGCUCGGGAGGCGUCCUCACGGCCCGGGCAGAGCGGCGGAGGGUCGCCUUGCAGGUGCGGCCUGCGUUUGUUUCUGCAGUGUUAACUUCCUUCAAACCAGUGAGCAGCCCUGAGGUGGGCACCAUGGAGAUUAUUUGCCUGAGGAGGGGUGUGGGGCUCAAAGAGCUCCAGCAACUUGCUCAAGGUCACUCAGCAAGUUAAUGGCCAAUCUGGAGCCAAGGAUCAAGACUCUGGACUCCCGGUGCAAUGUGAGUCUCCUACAAACCACCCCCAGAAUCAAAGGGGACACUGAAGGUCGGGGAUCUAGUUCCUUCACUUCCCUUCAAUAAAUGAGCCCCUAAAGUC